AAUGGAUUCUACCAGGUCCCAGUUUACCUAAACCCUUCAAUGGAUUCUACCAGGUCCCAGUUUACCUAAACCCUUCAAUGGAUUCUACCAGGUCCCAGUUUACCUAAACCCUUCAAUGGAUUCUACCAGGUCCCAGACAGUUUACCUAAACCCUUCAAUGGAUUCUACCAGGUCCCAGUUUACCUAAACCCUUCAAUGGAUUCUACCAGGUCCCAGUUUACCUAAACCCUUCAAUGGAUUCUACCAGGUCCCAGUUUACCUAAACCCUUCAAUGGAUUCUACCAGGUCCCAGUUUACCUAAACCCUUCAAUGGAUUCUACCAGGUCCCAGACAGUUUACCUAAACCCUUCAAUGGAUUCUACCAGGUCCCAGUUUACCUAAACCCUUCAAUGGAUUCUACCAGGUCCCAGACAGUUUACCUAAACCCUUCAAUGGAUUCUACCAGGUCCCAGACAGUUUACCUAAACCCUUCAAUGGAUUCUACCAGGUCCCAGACAGUUUACCUAAACCCUUCAGUGGAUUCUACCAGGUCCCAGACAGUUUACCUAAACCCUUCAAUGGAUUCUACCAGGUCCCAGACAGUUUACCUAAACCCUUCAAUGGAUUCUACCAGGUCCCAGUUUACCUAAACCCUUCAAUGGAUUCUACCAGGUCCCAGACAGUUUACCUAAACCCUUCAAUGGAUUCUACCAGGUCCCAGUUUACCUAAACCCUUCAAUGGAUUCUACCAGGUCCCAGUUCACCUAAACCCUUCAAUGGAUUCUACCAGGUCCCAGUUCACCUAAACCCUUCAAUGGAUUCUACCAGGUCCCAGUUUACCUAAACCCUUCAAUGGAUUCUACCAGGUCCCAGUUCACCUAAACCCUUCAAUGGAUUCUACCAGGUCCCAGACAGUUUACCUAAACCCUUCAAUGGAUUCUACCAGGUCCCAGUUUACCUAAACCCUUCAAUGGAUUCUACCAGGUCCCAGACAGUUUACCUAAACCCUUCAAUGGAUUCUACCAGGUCCCAGACAGUUUACCUAAACCCUUCAAUGGAUUCUACCAGGUCCCAGACAGUUUACCUAAACCCUACAAUGGAUUCUACCAGGUCCCAGACAGUUUACCUAAACCCUUCAAUGGAUUCUACCAGGUCCCAGUUUACCUAAACCCUUCAAUGGAUUCUACCAGGUCCCAGACAGUUUACCUAAACCCUUCAAUGGAUUCUACCAGGUCCCAGACAGUUUACCUAAACCCUUCAAUGGAUUCUACCAGGUCCCAGACAGUUUACCUAAACCCUUCAAUGGAUUCUACCAGGUCCCAGUUUACCUAAACCCUUCAAUGGAUUCUACCAGGUCCCAGUUUACCUAAACCCUUCAAUGGAUUCUACCAGGUCCCAGACAGUUUACCUAAACCCUUCAAUGGAUUCUACCAGGUCCCAGACAGUUUACCUAAACCCUUCAAUGGAUUCUACCAGGUCCCAGUUUACCUAAACCCUUCAAUGGAUUCUACCAGGUCCCAGUUUACCUAAACCCUUCAAUGGAUUCUACCAGGUCCCAGUCUACCUAAACCCUUCAAUGGAUUCUACCAGGUCCCAGUUUACCUAAACCCUUCAAUGGAUUCUACCAGGUCCCAGACAGUUUACCUAAACCCUUCAAUGGAUUCUACCAGGUCCCAGACAGUUUACCUAAACCCUUCAAUGGAUUCUACCAGGUCCCAGACAGUUUACCUAAACCCUUCAAUGGAUUCUACCAGGUCCCAGUUUACCUAAACCCUUCAAUGGAUUCUACCAGGUCCCAGACAGUUUACCU